GAGUGGACGCAUCACUGGUGUUCGGGUUGUCAUGCCAAUGGCACUGCCCGGUAGCUAAAUGCGGAAGAGAUAAGUGCUGAAAGCAUCUAAGCACGAAACUUGCCCCGAGAUGAGUUCUCCCUGAGACUUUAAGUCUCCUGAAGGAACGUUGAAGACGACGACGUUGAUAGGUCGGGUGUGUAAGCGCAGCGAUGCGUUGAGCUAACCGAUACUAAUGAACCGUGAGGCUUAACCUUACAACGCCGAAG
rnacentral:rRNA from 1 species